AGAAAAAGAAAAACUUUCUCUCAUUCUUUUGACUCACCAUCCCGUUCCCGUAAGAUACAGUAGAUUUCCUAGGGUUUGGUCUGCCUUCCCGUUCGUAGAUUGAAGACUCUCGAAGGCUUAUCCUCAUCUCCUAUUUUCUACUCUAGAUAUUUCUUUUGCGGGCUUUCACUAAAUCAUUGUUGCUUCUGCUUUAUUGGGCACUAUAGCUAGCGUUCUUCACCCAUACUAUAUUAUUUUUGCUUUAUUAACCCAACCCCUUAUUUAGUUAGUUUGCUGGUUUUUUAAUGUGCCCUCGAUUUGUUGUUUUUUGCUUAAUAGAUGAUAACCCAUUUAGUUUUUCUGCAAAAAUGUACAUUUAAUUCAGUGUGACUAUUUUUCUUGUUCUAUUUGUGUUACUGAAUUGGGUAAAACCCGUUUGGUGGAUUUUCCUUGGAAGCGUGAUUUAUCCGUACGCUUUGCAUGCGAAUGUGUUGUUUUAUUUGUUCGGAUUGGUGAUAAAUUGGGAGGUUUUGAAUGAGGGACAACUGGACAAGAGUGUGCGAUGUGGUAAGAAAUGAAGUUUGGUGAUUUUGAGAGAUGGGGUGUGUUUUUGGGAAAGAGAAUGUCAUUUGGGCCUCCUAUUGACCAGGUUGUAGCUUGGAACGGGAGAGGGAAUGGGGGAGAGAGAGAUUCGGCUACACCGUUGGGGAGAAGAGAGAAAGUAGUAGUUGGUUCGUGUAUCAUCGACUUCUCAUUUAUGUCCCCAUAUACUUCAUCUCCUUCUUUUAGGCCUUUUACUUGACUAUCAACUUUAACCACCACACCAGCAACAUCAUAGCCUUGAAUAGUCUACCGGGGGGAAAAAAGAUCAAUACAUUAAGUGGGCACAUUUUUUAGGUGAUAAAAAUUGUAAAUUUCACUUUCUGAAUCAGUAGAUAUUGCAAUUUCAGCAUGAGCAUAUAUGAUUCUAGCUUAGCUUACAUAGAAACUUUCUAUCAAGGAGUGAACUUAGCUAUUCAUCAAGUCUUAUUCCAUAUAAAUUUGGAGUGUGCUACAUGAUUUUUUUCCCCUUUUUUUCACUAGUUAAGUUCACAGUUGAAUAAAAUCUGUAGGGAAAAAGAAAGAGAGGGAGUACGAGAAAAUUACAGGAAGGGUGUGAAUCAAUGGCCUUAAAUUGCCCAAGCCGCCUUUUGUAAUAUACUGGAUUAAUAGAUGCUGUCACCACCUUGAUCAAGACCUGAUCAUUCUUCACUUCCGGCACUGCAACUUCUGACUCGGACUUCAACACCUCAACCCCGCCAUACUCAUAGUAAAUCCAGGCCUUCAUUUUGGAUGGUAUAGGAGAAGACACUGACACGAACAGCUUGCGAGCUAGAAAAAUGGGAUUCUUGUGGUUUUAUAUUCAGAUUGUGGCCGGGAAAUAUGGUGUGUUUUCAGUUUGGAAGUUCCGUAAGAGUGUUUACCACAGAUGACUCCAGAAAGCCUUUCAGACCUUUUUACAAGCCUGUAAUAAAGUCUAUGUUCAACCUAUUCAUUUAAAAGUUGUUUCAAGUAUUGUUUGACAAAUCUUUUGAUAAAAAUUGAAGUAAUAUAUGAUUAAUAAAAUUGAUAAAAGUUAUGAAAUAGAAGCCAUGUGCAUGAAAUUAUGGGGACAAGUUAUCCUGGAAAAAAAUCUCCAAAAUAUCAAGUGUGUUCUUUUAUCUUAUCAUUUAAAAAAAUUGGAGUAGGGCCUUUGUUUUGUUCUUGUUUGUUACGUAAUUAUUUUCAUGUAUCUUUUUGUUCUGGUUGUGUUUGCUUGCUUACUUAUUUAAGCUUGAUUUUUUUCUUCCUUAACGUGUCUGCCUGGAAUAACAUUUAGUCCAUUAGGCAAACAAUCGAGCUUGCAACUUUAUCUGUUUAAUAUCCAUGUUAUUGAAUCAAGAUCUCCAAGUUAAUACAUAGCAAAUUUUCCUCCAAAGAAAAUUUUGGCUUUUCCCUGGAUAUUCUUUCCCAAUAAACCAACAUGAAGAAAAAAAUAAUAUUAGCUUGCUAUCUUCUCUUAAGCAAAAACAUACCUUGAAGCAAAUGAGUUUACAAAUGUCAUAGGCACCGAGACAACAGUAAUAUAAUUCUGGUGUUUACUAUGAAUAGCCAAAUUGCUUCUGUUACCCUCGGAUGUAAUAAGCUCACCCCUGAAAUCUAAAAAUCAACAAAAUAAUGAAUCUAUCAAUUUAAAAUCAAAAUUUCAAACGAGCCCACAAGAGUGAAGCUCCUGAAGACCUCAACAAUUGAAAUAGGAUAAUUAAAAACCACAUGUACUAAUUGAUAAAAUUAAAGUUUUAUAUUUUAGUUUUGCUUAACAUGUUCUGGUAAGGCACUUCUAAUAUGUUAUGUGUUGCUUAAUUUGAUGUAUAUUCAAUAUAGCUUUAACAUGGGUGGUCACAGAGCUAAGAAUAAGGAACCAAUGUUAUGGUCGGACGAGAAUGAACACGCUUUUAUCGAAAUUCUUUACGAAAAGGUGAAAUCAAAUGCAUUACAAUGUUCUACGUUCACGAAAGACGAAUAGGGCAGGAUCAAUGAAGCUAUGAUAGCUUCAACAAAAAUGGAUGACGGCAUAGAUAGAUUAAAGAGAAAGUGGAACCGCUUACGUAAAAUUCAUCGCAUGUUCUUUGAACUUUUGGAACAUACAGGUGUUACAUAGAAUCCAAAUACCAACAAAGUUAAUGCUGCAGAGGAGGUUUGACAAUACUUUUAUACGGUAACAUAUAUUUAUUAAAGAAUAUAUUCGUCAUUAGUUUUUAUCUUAUCAAUUUUACAUUUUUUUGUUGAACACUAUGUGGCUUCUUUUUUCAAUGAUAGAUUAACAAGUCGGAUUAUAAGAUGUUCAAGAGGGAAGGAUGUAAGUACUACCACACUCUUAGGGAGAUAAUUAGCGAGACUAUAGCUAUUGGAGGAUUAGGCAAUGCCUUUACUCAACUUCCAAACACAUCAGAGGAAGAAAGGUAGCUAGAAGAUUUUUUGAACAGGAUAGCGCAUGUACGUGCAAAAAAUGAUGAUGAAGUUGAUGAGGUUUCAAGUACUCUCGACGUGAUGAAAUUGGUACAUCGGGUGAACACCGACGUAAGGAACAUAAGAUCAGUAAAAGUAAUAAACUCGAGGUCUGCAUGGCACAGUGAUCAUCAAUAGUUAGUUUGAUGAAUGAAGAAACUAAACCUAAAACACUUUAUCUAAAAGAAAAGCUUGCAAAGAUCCAAGAAAAAUCAUGUAAUCGAUCGGAUAAUAAAGUUAAUAGUCCGGAUUCUUAUUCAAAUGUUAUUUGCUUGAACAUCUUAAAUUAUAUGGAAGGGGUGUCCAAUGAGAUUUAUAUGAAAGCAAUAAAAGCUUUAAGGAUCCCGAUUUCAAGGUGUCAAUUGUAAAAAUGUUAGAAGCAAGGAGAGGACCUAUUUUCGAACUACUUUGAUGUGAUUGUUGUUUUAAUUUCUCUAGUAUCGUGUUGUCUUAAUUUGAUAUGUUGAUGGUUGAAAUACUGUGUUAUUUUCACAGCUUGAAGAACUUUUUUUCCUUUCGUGGUGAUGAUGUACUGUUUUUUGAACUUACAAUUCGGUGAUGAUGUUGGUUGGAGAAUUGAUGUUAAUUUUUCUUUAGUUUCUGAAUGCUUGAUCGCUUGUUUUAUUUGAAAGAAUGAUGGUUGAUAUGACUUAUGAUAGUUGUUGUGGUUAUAUUUUGUUCACAUUAUGACCAAUAAAUCAAAUGUGGAUGAUAAUGUGAGUACUGAUGAUUCUAUUGACGAAGAUUCGAGAGAUGAUGAUUUCUAUGUAAGGAUGAUUUUGACUCAAAUUUUGGAAAUUUGAUGAUGUUUAAUUGCUUUGUUGCCAACAAAGGAAGUACCAUUGGUGAGAGACCUUGCAGAACAUCAUUGCUCAUGGGAAACAUGUACAUGCUAAAAAUUCUGAAUGAACAUCUGAACGUGUGCUAUCAUAAUUUUUGUAUGCAGAAACAUGUUUUUAAUAAUUUUUGUAAUAUUUUGAAAGAGAAAGGGUUGCUGAAAGAUGGGAAAAAAGUGAGCAUCGAGGAGGGUGUUGCUAUGUUUUUGAUAAUUGUAGGGUACACUACACGAUACAGUGUCAUUGGUGAUAGGUUUCAAUAUUCCAACAACACAAUACACAAAUGAUUCAAACGAGUUGUAAAGGUUGUUUGUUCAUUUGGCACUGAGAUAAUCCGUCCGACAAAUCAAGACAUUGUGCAUGAGCAGAUUUUACGCAAAUAUCCUUUCUUUAAGGAUUGUAUAGGCGCAAUAGAUGGAACACAUGUUACAGUUUGGGUUCCUGCAUCGAGAUAAACGUCUUUUCGUGAAAGGAAAACUAAUAUAACACAAAAUUUGAUGUUGACAUGUGAUUUUGAAAUGAAAUUCACAUUUGUGUAUUUUGGUUGGGAAGGUACUGCUAGUGAUUCGUGAGUAUUCGUUGACGCAAUCACGAGAAGCUCGAAUAACUUUUCAAUGCCAUAUGGAGAUCAAUUUUACCUUGUUGAUUCUGGAUAUCCAAACAUGUCUGGAUUUCUUGUCCCUUAUCGAGACUAAAGAUAUAAUCUUCAUGACUAUGUUGGAUGGGAAAGACUAUAUGGGAAGGAAGAAUUGUUCAACUAUAGACAAUCAUCGUGUCGUAACAUUAUUGAACGUUGUAUUGGAGUUUUAAAGGCAAGAUUUCCUAUUUUGAAGUUGAUUACAAAUUAUCCACUUAGUAGAUAAAGACAAAUUCCUACUCCAUGUUGCACAAUUAACAACUUUAUUCGUCAGGAGCACGUUUUAGAUAAGUUGUUCAUUGAGUAUUCAGAGGAGAAUACGAUGUUUCAAAAUAUACCGGAGUCAAAUUAAGAUCAAGAAGUCAGAUAUUUUGAUGCUAGUCAAAUAGUUCCAAUGGGACAAGUCAGGGAUCAAAUUGCUAUACAAAUGUGGAAUGACUACUUAAGACAUUGUACAUAAUUCCGCGGAUGUUUUUAUAUUAUGUUUAGUAUGUGUUUAUUUUGUCAUGACAUGUAAACUUCUAAUAGUAUCUAUUGAACUGUGUUGCCAAAUUUAAUUUA